AAAAUGUGAGUUCUCGUGUUUUCAAACCUCUUCUCUUGAUAAGGAUUUUUGCUUUCCUUGAGGACAAGCAAAGAUGUAAGUCGGGGGGAGUUGAUAUGUUGUGUUUUUAUCGGUUUUGAGUCUUUGUUUUCUUUCUUACAUCAUAUGUUUUAUCAAGUCAAAGUGUGUUUUUAGAGUCUUUUAGUUGUUUAUCGAGUCUCUACAGGUUUUAGGUUGCUUCGGAGGAAAACGAGCUGUUUUGGGGUAUAAACACACUUUUGGAGAUGCAGUUUCGUUUAGAAAUGUCAGACGUUUUUCCUCAGAUGGAAUACUUCCCACCGUUAGAUCUUUCUGCAUUUUUGACACAAGUUAGAUGAAGAUGUUAUCUUGAGUUUACAAGUGGUUUGAAGGAAAUCCAACGGUGCAUUCAAGAGUUAUACCUGAAUUAGUGAAGACAGGUCAUUCUGCCGAGC
rnacentral:lncRNA from 1 species